GACGAACGCUGGCGGCGUGCCUAAUACAUGCAAGUUGAGCGAUGAAGAUUGGUGCUUGCACCAAUUUGAAGAGCAGCGAACGGGUGAGUAACGCGUGGGGAAUCUGCCUUUGAGCGGGGGACAACAUUUGGAAACGAAUGCUAAUACCGCAUAACAACUUUAAACAUAAGUUUUAAGUUUGAAAGAUGCAAUUGCAUCACUCAAAGAUGAUCCCGCGUUGUAUUAGCUAGUUGGUGAGGUAAAGGCUCACCAAGGCGAUGAUACAUAGCCGACCUGAGAGGGUGAUCGGCCACAUUGGGACUGAGACACGGCCCAAACUCCUACGGGAGGCAGCAGUAGGGAAUCUUCGGCAAUGGACGAAAGUCUGACCGAGCAACGCCGCGUGAGUGAAGAAGGUUUUCGGAUCGUAAAACUCUGUUGGUAGAGAAGAACGUUGGUGGGAGUGGAAAGCUCAUCAAGUGACGGUAACUACCCAGAAAGGGACGGCUAACUACGUG
rnacentral:rRNA from 1 species